rnacentral:rRNA from 1 species
UGCAGUCGAGCGGUNGGCCUCUUCGGGGGUACACGAGCGGCGAACGGGUGAGUAACACGUGAGCAAUCUGCCCUUCACUCGCGGAUAACUACCGGAAACGGUGGCUAAUACGUGAUGCGACCGCUUCCUGCAUGGGAUGGUGGUGGAAAGUUUUGGCGGUGGGGGAUGAGCUCGCGGCCUAUCAGCUUGUUGGUGAGGUAAUGGCUUACCAAGGCUUCGACGGGUAGCCGGCCUGAGAGGGUGACCGGCCACACUGGGACUGAGACACGGCCCAGACUCCUACGGGAGGCAGCAGUGGGGAAUAUUGGACAAUGGGCGAAAGCCUGAUCCAGCAACGCCGCGUGAGGGAUGACGGCCUUCGGGUUGUAAACCUCUUUCAGUACCGACGAAGCGCAAGUGACGGUAGGUACAGAAGAAGCACCGGCCAACUACGUGCCAGCAGCCGCGGUAAUACGUAGGGUGCGAGCGUUGUCCGGAAUUAUUGGGCGUAAAGGGCUCGUAGGCGGUUUGUCACGUCGGGAGUGAAAACUCGGGGCUUAACUCCGAGCCUGCUUCCGAUACGGGCUGACUAGAGGUAUGCAGGGGAGAACGGAAUUCCUGGUGUAGCGGUGAAAUGCGCAGAUAUCAGGAGGAACACCGGUGGCGAAGGCGGUUCUCUGGGCAUUACCUGACGCUGAGGAGCGAAAGUGUGGGGAGCGAACAGGAUUAGAUACCCUGGUAGUCCACACCGUAAACGUUGGGCGCUAGGUGUGGGGCUCAUUCCACGAGUUCCGUGCCGCAGCUAACGCAUUAAGCGCCCCGCCUGGGGAGUACGGCCGCAAGGCUAAAACUCAAAGGAAUUGACGGGGG